rnacentral:rRNA from 1 species
AACGAACGCUGGCGGCAUGCCUAACACAUGCAAGUCGAACGAGACCUUCGGGUCUAGUGGCGCACGGGUGCGUACCGCGUGGGAACCUGCCCUUAGGUUCGGAAUAACUCCCCGAAAGGGGUGCUAAUACCGGAUAAUGUCUUCGGACCAAAGAUUUAUCGCCUUUGGAUGGGCCCGCGUUGGAUUAGCUAGUUGGUAGGGUAAAAGCCUACCAAGGCGAGGAUCCAUAGCUGGUCUGAGAGGAUGACCAGCCACACUGGGACUGAGACACGGCCCAGACUCCUACGGGAGGCAGCAGUGGGGAAUAUUGGACAAUGGGCGAAAGCCUGAUCCAGCAAUGCCGCGUGAGUGAUGAAGGCCUUAGGGUUGUAAAGCUCUUUUACCCGGGAUGAUAAUGACAGUACCGGGAGAAUAAGCUCCGGCUAACUCCGUG